UUCGACGGAGAGUUUGAUCCUGGCUCAGGACGAACGCUGGCGGCGGGCCUAACACAUGCAAGUCGAACGCACUCGACCUUCGGGUCACAUGAGUGAGUGGCGAACGGGUGAGUAACACGUGAGGAACCUGCCCCGAAGACUGGAAUAACCCGAGGAAACUCGGGCUAAUACCGGAUAUCCCCACCAGGUCGCAUGGCCAGGUGAGGAAAUGCUCCGGCGCUUCGGGAGGGUCUCGCGGCCUAUCAGCUAGUUGGUGAGGUAACGGCUCACCAAGGCAUCGACGGGUAGCUGGUCUGAGAGGACGAUCAGCCACACUGGGACUGAGACACGGCCCAGACUCCUACGGGAGGCAGCAGUGGGGAAUCUUGCGCAAUG
rnacentral:rRNA from 1 species